GUUUCCUGUACUAACUUCAACUACAACUACAACAUCUUAAUAUAGCCAUGAGAACCGAACCGUAUACUGCAACCGGUGCAAGAAAACUAAUAAAGCUGAUAUACAGUACAAACAAGGCUGUACAAAACUACUUCCUUGUCCUCUUUCUCUUCGCUUUAUGCUGGUUCUGAUCCAUCUUCCGCUUCACGCUAGCCACCAAAGAAUCCAAAUCCUGCUCUUUCUGCUCAACAUUCUUAACACCGGUUGCAGACUUGCGUCCUUCAGGCUCAGUUUGCUUUUGAUUGUUACGGCGACGGGUCCGCUCCGCAAGGAGGUCCUGCAUAGCCUUUGUCUUGACGAAGCUUUUUCCAAGGUCAAUAGCAAACUCUGGCUCUUCAUGCAAAGCCUUGAAUCGAUCAUCUUUAACAUCAAUCUUCCAGUCAUUGGGACCAAGUUCGACAUCUCUUUCUUGCUCUCCCUUCUUGCUCUUUCUCCUUCUCCGCUUCUUACCAGCCUCCUUCUCGGCUUUGAUGAUAUCUUUCAUAGAGAAGUUUGAGUCAGGUUCGUUGGUACCGGCGACAGCAGCAAGAUCGUCCUCAUCUGCAAGGGUGGGUUCAAGAGAUCUAGGCUUAGACUUGGGCUUGGGUUGUUGCUCCUCUUCCUCUUCUGAAGAAUCGCUGCCGAAAAACUCGUCUUGGCCGUCUGUAUUCUCCUCAUCGCCCCUUUCUCUGGCCGCAGCCUUCAAUUCCAUCUUCUCCUUCUUUCUCUGCUUCUUCUCUUUCAUUCUCAACUGGUAUCUCUCUAAGGAAGUCAUAUUCUCCUCAUCAUCAUUCCCUUUGGCAACGGAAAGACCAGGACGGAAAGUGAUCUCGAGGUCUUCUCCCUUCUUGGCCUUCUUGGAGGCAGAGUUGUCCUUGUCCUUAAGAGCGGCAGAUUUAAUAUUCUCCAGCUCAUUCGCCCACGCUGUUCCAGCUUUGCCCCAAACAUCGGUGACACCAUCCUCAUCAUCUCCGCCAGCGAGAAGAAGAUUUCUAAGCUUUUCCUUUCUCUCCUUCAUCUUCUUCUUCUUGUCCUUCUUGCUCUUGCCUCCCGCACCUUCUUCAUCGUCGAAGUCGGACUCUUCAGCUUCACUUCCAGAGGCUGCAACAAGAUUUUGGAAAUCCUGCUCUUCAAUUUCUUCUCGAGUAAGAGUCCGUCGAGUCAUCUUAAUUCGGUUGGGAUCGUCUUGGUCCCAAGUAAGCUUGACUUUAGAGUGUCGAAGAGCCUGAGAUCAUAUCCUGUCAGCGUUUCAUUAUACUUUUCACGCAGAUAUUGGCAUUUACGUCGGUAACAAAAUCAUUACCCUUGUAGGCCUUAGGCUCCUUAUCGGCUUCAUCCCUGUAAGAAUUCGGCCAUGUCCUCGGGCACAUAACUCAAAUCCAAUAUAUUGGCUGUCUGCUCAAACUCGGUACCAUUGCACUCGUUCAUGAUAUAUUCGGCUGCAGCAACACUGGAGAAAGUGGCGAUGGCGUAGUAAUAUCUAUUUAGACAGAUCAGGAUGGAACUCUAUAGUGACA
rnacentral:sRNA from 1 species